rnacentral:rRNA from 1 species
GGCGGCGUGCUUACACAUGCAAGUUGCACGCUCUCCCCUGGUCAGCAACCUUCGGGUUAACGUCAGGGAUCGGAGAGUAGCGGACGGGUGAGUAACGCGUGGAGAACCUGUCUUUAAGUAGAGGAUAACCCGGCGAAAGUUGGGCUAAUCCUGUAUAAGCUGACAGAUAAGCAUUUAUCAGUCAGCAAAGGCGGCCUUAGAGCUGUCGCUUAAGGAGGGUUCCGCGUCGGAUUAGCUAGCUGGUGUGGUCACGGCACACCAGGGCAUCGAUCCGUAGCUGGUCUGAGAGGACGAUCAGCCACACUGGGACUGAGACACGGCCCAGACUCCUACGGGAGGCAGCAGUGGGGAAUCUUCCGCAAUGGAGGCAACUCUGACGGAGCAACGCCGCGUGAGUGAAGAAGGCCUUCGGGUUGUGAAGCUCUGUUUACAGGGAAGAACCGCCAUAUAAGCAAAUAGAUAUGGUCUGACGGUAUCUGUAGAGGAAGCCCUGGCCAACUACGUGCCAGCAGCCGCGGUAACACGUAGAGGGCAAGCGUUGUCCGGAAUCAUUGGGCGUAAAGGGUAAGCAGGCUGGUAUGCAAGUCGAAUGUGAAAGUUGACGGCUCAACCGUCAGAUUGCGUUUGAAACUGCAUAUCUUGAGUGCAGCAGAGGGGAGCGGAAUUCCUGGUGGAGCGGUGAAAUGCGUAGAUAUCAGGAAGAACACCAGUGGCGAAGGCGGCUCUCUGGGCCGCAACUGACGCUGAUUUACGAAAGCCAGGGUAGUCAACGGGAUUAGAUACCCCGGUAGUCCUGGCAGUAAACGCUGGACACCAGGUGUUGGAGGUUCGAAUCCUUCAGUGCCAAAGUUAACGCAUUAAGUGUCCCGCCUGGGGAAUACGGUCGCAAGACUGAAACUCAAAGGAAUUGACGGGGGCCCGCACAAGCGGUGGGGCAUGUGGUUUAAUUCGAAGCAACCGCGAAAAACCUUACCGAGGUUUGACAUCCUGUGACUACCUGU